ensembl:misc_RNA Y_RNA Y RNA
GGCUGGUCCAAUGGCAGUGGGUUAUCAGAACUUAGUAACAUUAGUGUCACUAAAGUUGGUAUACCCCCCCACACUGCUAAAUUUGACUGACUUAAA